rnacentral:siRNA from 1 species
ACCACGUGUCAUGAUCUCGUGAG